CAACAGAUUGCAAAUGUCACUGCGCAUCAGCGGGAGGGGCCGUCACCCACGGGUGGCACAGCGGGGACGGGGCUGUCACCCACGGGUGGCACAGGGCGCUCCUCGCCCGGGGUCCUGCACGGGCUCCGCGUUGCGUAAAGAGACGUUGCAGUGGGAGUCCUCAUCUCAGGGCGGACUCCUUGGCUGCAUCCUCACCCCAGCUGCGUCCCCAGCCGAAGCUUGCUGCUCCUUGGGGCACACGGGAUGCUUUGCCCCAGGGAAAGCCCCACAGAGGCCGUUCCUUUCCGAGGGUAAGGAAAACACCACUGGAGGUUUGUCCUGGAAGAACCCCCCGGAUCCAAUCCACAGAGCAACACCUCCAGAAGGGAUUUCCCUGCGGUUCCCAAAGCACCCAGCGCCUCUCCUACCGCAUGUGGGUGCCUUCAGCUGUGCGCAUUUGGAAAGAGCACCUUAGGAGAGGGCACAGCCUCGAGCAGGGCUACCUGCACCAACCUUGUUCUCUGCAAAGCCCGGGGAAGGUUUGUUUUUCUCUCCUCCAUCAGCGCAGCGUGGAUGGAGCCAUGAGAGGGGACAGCGAUGUGAAGGACCCGGAGGGGGUUUUCUUUCCCUGAGAGCCUCUGUGUGAGGGGACGGCCGGGGCUGUGGGGUGAUGCAGGGCAGGAGCAGUGCAUCCUUCCUUUCCUCCUUCAGUGCUCAGCCCCACUCAUCCCACAGCACUUGGUGCACAGCAGCAGAAGGCUCCUUGCUUCAGUAAACCACCCAAAACAUCCCAAAUGAGCUCUGCUUAUUGUUUUUUAAGCCCCCAUGCUAGCUAUGGGGAUGGAUGGGAAAUAACCUGCGCGGCACUGGGGCUCAUCCCGAGGGAGCUGUGAUGAGGACAUAGGCA
ensembl:lncRNA